rnacentral:rRNA from 1 species
AACGCUGGCGGCAGGCCUCAACAUGCAAGUCGAGCGGUCCUUCGGGACAGCGGCGAACGGGUUAGUAACGCGUGGGAACGUGCCCUUUAGUACGGAAUAGCCAUUGGAAACGAUGAUUAAUACCGUAUACGCCCCAAGGGGGAAAGAUUUAUCGCUAAAGGAUCGGCCCGCGUUAGAUUAGGUAGUUGGUAGGGUAAUGGCCUACCAAGCCGACGAUCUAUAGCUGGUUUGAGAGGAUGAUCAGCAACACUGGGACUGAGACACGGCCCAGACUUCUACGGAAGGCAGCAGUAGGGAAUCUUGGACAAUGGGCGAAAGCCUGAUCCAGCCAUGCCGCGUGAGUGAUGAAGGCCCUAGGGUUGUAAAGCUCUUUCGCCAGGGAAGAUAAUGACGGUACCUGGUAAAGAAACCCCGGCUAACUCCGUGCC